ACUCACAGCUGCUCCCUGAGGAGCUUGGGUACCUCACGGUGGGCCGGCUCCACCAGGCAAGGCCACCACUGAUGCACCAGGAGCAGGCUCGGGGGCGGGGUUCCCCCAGGUGAGGGGCCGGCCAAGGCUCAGGAUGGAGCCUCUCGCCUGGUCCCAGGGCCCUGCCUGCUUGUCUUGACUCCUCGCUGUGCCCAGGGCUCUGCUCCUGGGGAUGGGUCCAGACCUCACCCCUAGGGUCGCCCCAGGUCCUCCCAGCCCCUCCCCCAGGCCCCCAGGGCACUAGCCUUUGUGACACUAGCCUGUGUCACAACUCUGGCUUGUGGUCGCUCUUACAGACACACCCUUAGCUGGGAUGAGUGGGCCUCCUGGACCUUGGUUUGGGGAGGGAAAUGGGCUGUGGCCCACGUUAACCUAAAUAGCACAUUGCUCUUAAAAUUCCAGAGUUAUAUUUGAAGCCAGGCCAAGUCCUCCCAGCCUGUGGUGGCUCUGGGCUCUGGGCUCAUCUGAGAACAGCUGGGUGGAGCCUGCGGUGUCCUGAAGGGUGAGCAGGAGGCCAGGGACCCCGCUCACCGAGGCCUCUGCACGGGGAGCCCUCAGGGGCACGUCCAGUCCCCCCAGAUCUGGGAGCCCUCAGGUGGCCUCACUGAGGGACUAGGAAUGCUCUGCUGCCACAGGGCUGUGUGCAGAGGGUGCGCGUCUGCCUGGCAGGGUGAGCUGGGCAGAAGGAGCGUGGGAACGAGGCCUCAGCGGGCAGUCAGUGUUGUGCCCUCCAGCUGGUGAGUGUGUCACACGGUGGCCCGGGGUGGCGCCGAGAUAACCAGAGUGCGUGGCCUCAGCCCGUCCCUGUUGGCCUGGCCCUGCAGUGGGGUGGGGGCUGUGCAGCCUGGGGGUGUGGCUCAGACGCUGACUCGGGAGCCCGGGGAAGCAGCUGGCAGGGAGGUCUGGACAGCUCUCCCAUGGUGUCCCUGUGGCUGCCCUGUGGAGAGGAGCCCGAGGGGCAGCCAAGAGGAGGUGACGGGGCAGGGCCGUGGGUGGGGUGCCUCGGGAAGCAUCCCAAGGUCCAGGAUGGAGGUGUGGGGGAGGGAGUGGAGAGUGACAGCCCAAGGUCCAGGAUGGAGGUGUGGGAGAGGGAGUGGAGAGUGACAGCUCACAUCACAUCACGCCCACGGGCCCUGCAUGGGGACCCUCAGCUCCUGAGGGUCAGGGGGCCCAAGGUGACCAGGCCCUUCAUACCCCCAGGGCUGCCCUGCCUCUGGCCACUGCUGAGCACUUGGCCCAUGGGGGAGCCCUCUGCUGGCCAGGGCCUCGUGGUCCCUAGGUUGGCACAGGGUCCCUCCUGGGUCCUCCUGAUCCUGGGCCCCUGGGGUGAGGGGGGAAGGCCAGGGAGGGGUCCCAGCCUCCCCACAGCCCCCACCACAGCCCGUCGCCCCUCCCCUGCGGGGGUGGGAAAAGCACCUGGAACAAGUCCCAGGUCGUUCCCAGGAAGGGGGGGUGCAUCCCUCCCGAGGCCCCACUCCCUGAUUCAUGAGGCAGGAGCCCAGCGCGUCCAGCACACUUCACAGGCAUCUGGAUGGAAUAACUGACUGCCAGCGGGGAAACUGGAGCCGGAUCUCUGUGGGGCAGGGUCACCGCAGUUCAUUCCAAUGCAGUGUGUGCAGCGCGGGG
rnacentral:lncRNA from 1 species